AAAAACUACAUUAAACAUAUGUAAGUUUACCAUUUUUCACUAAAAAAAGACGGCUUAUCUCCAUAAUGUAAUAUUAAUAUUUUGUAAAAAAAAACAUUAUAUAUAAUUUCGAAAAUAAUAAAUAAUAUGUAAACAUACAACAUAAAAAAAUAGAAAUACUACAUUAAACAUAUGUAAGAUUACCAUUUUACAUUUUAAAAUAACAAUAAUAUAUAAACAUACAACAUAAAAAAAUGGAAAAACUACAUUAAACAUAUGUAAUAUUACCAUUUUUCACUAAAAAAACGGCUUAUCUUCA
rnacentral:lncRNA from 1 species